rnacentral:rRNA from 1 species
UCCGAAGAUUUCCGAAUGAGGAAACUCACUUAGAGUAAUGUCUAAGUAUCAUUAAGUGAAUACAUAGCUUAAUGAGGGGAACUCAGGGAACUGAAACAUCUAAGUACCUGAAGGAAGAGAAAGAAAUUCGAUUCCGUAAGUAGCGGCGAGCGAACGCGGAUUAGCCCAAACCAAUAAAGUUUUCUUUAUUGGGGUUGCGGACAUAUCAUAACGAAGAGGUAUCGUAAUUGAAGAGGUUUGGAAAGACCCACCACAGAAGGUAAUAGUCCUGUAUGUUAAACGAGAAGACUUUA